CAUAUGAUCACCGAAGUUAAGCAACGUCGAGCCUCGUCAGUACCUAGAUGGGUGACCGCUUGAGAAUAUCAGGUGCUGUAAG